AACCUUCCACAGGGAUACUGGUACAAAGAUAAGUAAUCAAACUAACACCAGCCUGGCUGUAAUCUGAGCAUCAGCUUCUGGCAACUGCCUUGGUGAUGCUGUGGGCGUGCCAAAGCAGGCACAACAUUGGCAGUUCCCUGUGUCACAUAGGCACUGGCAACAUGGUGGACAUAGGAAGAUCAUAAGAACAGCACCACCCGUCUGCCAGCUGAGGCCACAUGUGAGCAGGAUAUUGUCUAGAGGCAGAGGUAAUACGGCAGGAGUGAGGGCAUGGAAGGAAGGGCAUGUCCCAAGGGCAGGAACGUAGUGGUGUCUGUGAUGCUACAGACUGUGUGUCCACCUCCUUUGUCUUUGAGGUCCAGAGGCCCAGAGGAGAACAUCCCCAGACCAUGGAACCCUCUUGUCCUCUGCUGCUCAUCUGGAGAGAUGUUCCGCCUUCCACAGGGACAUGGAUACUAAGAUAGGUAAUCAAACUAACACCAACCUAUCUGUAAUCUGGUCAUGAGAUGAUCAUAUCUGCUGUGCCCUCCAGCUUUGUCUUUGAGGCCCAGAGGCCCACAGGAGUACAUUACCAGACCACAGAACCCUCCUCUCUGCUGUGCAGCAGGAAAGAUGUUCCACCUUCCACAGGGACACUGGUACAAAGAUAAGUAAUCCAACUAGCUGUAAUUAGGACAUGAGCUGAUGGCAGCUGCAUUGGUGAUGCCGUGGUCAUGCCACAGCAAGCAUAACAAAGGCAGUUCCCUGUUUCACACAGGCAUUGGCAACAUGGCCAGCAUUGCAAGAUCAUCGGAAAAGUGGUAUGCCUGUGCCAGCUCAGGACAGAGAUGAGCAGGAUGGUUAUCAGUGGCAGAGAUGAGAGGGAAGGACUGUGGACAUGGAAGGGAAGGGCUUGGCCUGUGCAGGGAGACAGGAGUAGCUGUGAUGCAAUAGACUGUGUGUCCUCCUCCUUUGUCUUUGAGGGCAGGAGGUUCAGAGGAGAACAUGACCAGACCAUGGAACCCUCCUCUCUGCUGCGCAACAGGAGAGAUGUUCCACCUACCACAGGGACACUGGUACAAAGAUAAGUAAAUUAACACGAGCCUGGCUGUAGUUUAGGCAUGAGCUGAUGACAACUGCUUUAGUGAUGCCAUGGUUAUGCCACAGCAGGCAUAACGUUGGUAGUUCCCAGUGUCACACAGGCUUUUUUAGUAACAUGGCAUGCAUUGGAAGAUCAUAGAAAAAGCUGCACUCGUAUACCAGCCCACGCCAGAGGACAGCAGGAUGGUUAGCAAAGGCAGAUGUGAGAGGGCAGGUUAGAGGACAUGGAAUGGACGGGCUGGGCUUGGGAAUGGAGGCAGGAGUGGCUGUGAUGCAACACUUUGUGUGUCUUCCUCCUUUGCCUUUGAGGGCCAGAGGCCCAGAAGAGGGCAUGACCAGACCAUGGAACCCUCCUGUCCUCUGCUGCUCAGCUGAAGAGAUGUUUUGCCUUCUUCAGGGACACUGAUACAAGGACAGGUCAUCAAAAUAACAGCAGCCUGGUUGUAAUUCGGGCAUCAGCCUCUUGCAACUGCCUCAGUGAUGCCGUGGUUUUGCCACAGCAGGCGUAACAUUGCCAGUGCCCUUUGUCACACAGAAAUUGGCAACAUGGCAUGCAUUGGGAGGUUGUAGAAAGAGCUGCAACCCUCUGCCAGCCCAGGCCAGAGGACAGCAAGAUGGUUAGCAGAUGCGGUGGUGAGAGGACAGGACUGCGGACAUGGAAGGGAAGGGCUGGGCAUGGAAAGGGAGGAAGGAGUGGUUAUGAUGCAACAGACUGUGUGUCCUCCUCAUUUGUCUUUGAGGCCCAGAGGUCCAGAGGAGAACAUGACCAGACCAUGGAACACUCCUCUCUGGUGCGCAGCUGGAGAGAUGUUCCACCUUCCACAGGGACACUGGUACAAAGAUAAGUAAUCAAAUCAGCACCAGCCUGGCUGUACCUCAGGCAUGAGCUGAUGGCAACUGCCUUUGUAAUGCUGUGGUUAUGCCACCGCCGGCAUAACAUUGGCAGUUCCCAGUGUCACACAGGCUUUCAUAAAAUCCAGAAUAGGGAGAUCAUAUGAAAAACUGCACCCCUCAGCCAGCCUAUGCCGUAGGAUAGCACUACUGUCUGCAGAUGAAGAGGUGAGAGGGAAGGUGCAGGGAGACAGGAGUGGCUAUGAUACAACAGACUGUGUGUCUUCCUCCACUGUCUUAUGGCAUCAGCCUCUUGCAACUGCCUUGGUGAUGCCAUGGUUUUUCCACAGCAGGCUUAUCACUGUCAGUGCCCUGUAUCACACAGAUAUUAGCAACAUGGCUGGCAUAGGGAGGUCAUGGAAAGAGCUGCACCCCUCUGCCAGCCUAGGCCAGAGAAGAGCAGGAUGGUUAGCAGAUGUAGAGGUGAGCAGACUGGACAGAGGGCAAGGAAGGGAAGGGCUGAACCUGGGCAGGUAGGCAUGGAUGGCUGUGUUGCAACAGACUGUGUGUCCUCCUUUGUCUUUGAGGGCCAGAGGCCCAGAGGAGGACAUCCCCCCUAAUGGAACUGUCCUGUCCUUUGCUGCUAGGCUGGAGAGAUGUUCUGCCUUCUACAAGGAAACUGAUAUAAAGAUAAGUAAUCUUAUUAACACCAGCCUGGCUGUAAUUUGGCCAUCAGCUUCUGGCAACUGCCUUGGUGACACCAUGGACAAGCCACAGGAGGCAUAACACUGGCAGUUCCCUGUGUCACACAGGCACUGGCAGCAUGGCCGGAUUAGGAAGAUCAUAAGAACAGCUGCCCCCUUUGCCAGCUCAUGCCAGAGGAGAGCAGGAUUGUGAGCAGAGGCAGAGGUGAGUGGGCAGGGGAAAGGGCAUAGAAAGGAAGGGCAGGGCCUGGGCAAGAGUGGAUGUGAUGCAACAGAUUGUGUGUUUUCCUCCUUCAUCAUUGAGGGCCAAAGGCCCAGAGGAGGGCAUGACCAGACCAUGGAACCUUCCUGUUCUCUGCUGCUCAGCUGGAUAGUUGUUUCACCUUCCACAGGGACAUCGGUAAAAAGAUAAGUAAUCAAACUAAAACCAGCUUGGUUGCUUUUUUGGCAAUCAGCUUCUGUCAGUGGCCUUGGUGAUGGGGUAGGCAUAUCACAGCAGUCAUAACACUUGCAGUUCCCUGUGUCAGUCAGUCACUGGCGACAUGGUGGGCAUAGGAAGAUCAUAAGAACUUGUCUGCCAGCUGAGGCCACAUGUGAGCAGAAUAUUGUGUAGGGGCUGAGGUAAGUGGACAGAACAAAAGGCAUGGAAGGAAGGGCAUGUCCCAGGGCAGGAAGGUGAGGGUGUCUGUGAUGCUGCAAACUGUGUGUCCUCCACCUUUGUCUUUGAGGCCAAGAGGCCCAGAGGUGGAUAUAACCAGACCAUUGAACGUUCCUGUCCUCUCCUGCUCAUCUGAAGAGAUGUUCUGCCUUCUACAAGCACACUGAUACAAAGAUAAGUAAUCAAAAUAACAUGCGCCGGCUGUAAUUUGGUCGUCAACUUCUGGCAACUUUCUUGGUGAUGCCGUGGGCAUGCCAAAGCAGGCAUAAGCCUGGCAGUACCAUGUGUCACAUAGGCAUUGGCGACAUGGCAUGCAUUGGGAGAUCAUAGAAGGAGCUGCACAUCUCUGCCAGACCAAGCAAGAGGAGAGAAGGAUGGUUAGCAUAUGCAGUGGUGAGAGGACAGGACAGCGGACAUAGAAGGGAAGGUUUGCGCCUGGGCAAUGAGGCAGGAGUGGUUGUGAUGCAACAGACUGUGUGUCCCCCUCCUUUGUCUUGGAGGGACAAAGGCCCAGAGGAGAGCAUGACCAGACCGUGGAACCCUUCAGUCUUCUGCUGCUCCACCUUUCACAGGGACAUCAAUACAAUGAUAAGUAAUCAAACUAACACCAGCUUGGCUGUACUUUUGGCGAUCAGCUUCUGUCUGCGGCCUUGGUGAUGGGGUGUGCAUGUCACAGCAGGCACAACAUUGGCAGUUCCCUGUGUCACACAAGCACUGGCAACAUGGCAUUGGAAGACCAUAGAAAAAGCUGCACCCCUCUGCCAGCCCAGGACAGAGGAGAGCAGGAUGGUUAGCAGAGGCACAGACAUUGUAUGUCCUCCUCCUUUUUCUUUAGGGCCAGAGGCCAUGGAACCUUCCUGUCCACUUCUUCUCCCUGGAACAGUGAUACAAGCAUAAGUAAUCAAACUAACAUCAGCAUGGCUAUAAUUUUGCCAACAGCUUCUGGCAACUGCCUUGGUGAUGCCAUGGGCAUCUCACAGCAGGCAUAAAAUUGGCAGUUUCCUCUGUCACACAUAAACUGGCAACAUGGUGAGCAAAGGGCUAUCAUAAGAGCAGCUCCACUCAUAUGCUAGCCCUGGCCAGAGAAGUGCAGGAGAGUAAGCAGAGGCAGAGGUGGGAGGGCAGGACAGAGGACAUGGAAGGGAAGGGCUGGGACCCUGGGCAGGGAUGCAUGGGUUGCUGUGAUGCAACAGACUGUGUGUCCUCCUCCUUUGUCUUGGAGUGACAGAGGUCCACAGGAGAACUUCCCCAGACUGUGGAACCCUCCUGUCCUCUGCUGCUCAGCUGUAGAGUUGUUCCAUUUUCUACAAGGACAUCAGUACAAAGGUUUCUACAUUCAUCUCUGAAUUAUUGGAACUAAUGAAAAGGAUGCACAGCAUCAGACUGUACUGCUGCUUGUCCUUGGAGUUUGCUGAAAAUCACUUCAGCUGUGGAUGAGGAAAAAUGUGCAUCACCAGCCUUCUCUUUGUGAAAAUCACCUGACUAUAAAAUGUUUUGCUGCA